rnacentral:rRNA from 1 species
GUAGUCCACGCCGUAAACGAUGAGCACUAGUUGUGGCGGGAAUUAACCCCUGCCGUGACGUAGCAAACGCGUUAAGUGCUCCGCCUGGGGAGUACGGUCGCAAGACUAAAACUCAAAGGAAUUGACGGGGGCCCGCACAAGCGGUGGAUCAUGUGGUUUAAUUCGAAGCAACGCGCAGAACCUUACCUGGGUUUGAAAUCCUACGAAUUCUGCAGAGAUGUGGAAGUGCCCUUCGGGGAAUGUAGUGACAGGUGCUGCAUGGCUGUCGUCAGCUCGUGUUGUGAAAUGUUGGGUUAAGUCUCGCAACGAGCGCAACCCCUGUCUUUAGUUGCCAGCAUUAAGUUGGGCACUCUAAAGAGACUGCCAGGGUUAACCUGGA